rnacentral:rRNA from 1 species
UUGCUUCUCUUGAGAGCGGCGGACGGGUGAGUAAAGCCUAGGAAUCUGCCUGGUAGUGGGGGAUAACGUUCGGAAACGGACGCUAAUACCGCAUACGUCCUACGGGAGAAAGCAGGGGACCUUCGGGCCUUGCGCUAUCAGAUGAGCCUAGGUCGGAUUAGCUAGUUGGUGAGGUAAUGGCUCACCAAGGCGACGAUCCGUAACUGGUCUGAGAGGAUGAUCAGUCACACUGGAACUGAGACACGGUCCAGACUCCUACGGGAGGCAGCAGUGGGGAAUAUUGGACAAUGGGCGAAAGCCUGAUCCAGCCAUGCCGCGUGUGUGAAGAAGGUCUUCGGAUUGUAAAGCACUUUAAGUUGGGAGGAAGGGCAUUAACCUAAUACGUUAGUGUUUUGACGUUACCGACAGAAUAAGCACCGGCUAACUCUGUGCCAGCAGCCGCGGUAAUACAGAGGGUGCAAGCGUUAAUCGGAAUUACUGGGCGUAAAGCGCGCGUAGGUGGUUUGUUAAGUUGGAUGUGAAAUCCCCGGGGCUCAACCUGGGAACUGCAUUCAAAACUGACUGACUAGAGUAUGGUAGAG